rnacentral:rRNA from 1 species
CCUACGGGUGGCUGCAGUGAGGAAUAUUGGACAAUGGGCGCAAGCCUGAUCCAGCCAUGCCGCGUGAAGGAUGAAGGCCCUAUGGGUCGUAAACUUCUUUUAUACGGGACAAAACCCCUCCUCGUGAGGAGGGUUGAUGGUACUGUAAGAAUAAGGGUCGGCUAACUUCGUGCCAGCAGCCGCGGUAAUACGAAGGACCCGAGCGUUAUCCGGAUUUAUUGGGUUUAAAGGGUGCGUAGGCGGAUUAGUAAGUCAGUGGUGAAAGCCCGUCGCUUAACGGCGGAACUGCCAUUGAUACUGCUAGUCUUGAGUAUGGUUGAGGUGGGCGGAAUGUGUCAUGUAGCGGUGAAAUGCUUAGAUAUGACACAGAACACCAAUUGCGAAGGCAGCUCGCUAAGCCAUAACUGACGCUGAGGCACGAAAGCGUGGGGAGCAAACAGGAUUAGAUACCCCAGUAGUC